GAGAUUAUGACUGGUGGGUGACCUUAGGUUAUUGUAUACAGAUGAUUGAUGAGAGAAGCACUAGAGCGAAUAUUACCAUGAGUCGUUCAAACUACAUUAGGUGGUUCCGACUUAUGUGCAGAAGGCCGGACAGGUCACGCGGAGUGACUCCGGCAGAGAGUGAGAUUGAUAGAUGUUGAGCUCUAGGUUCAAUCGUUCAGGGCUAUUAGAGGGCCUCCGAUUGAUUUCUAUCUUUUACCUGAUUAUAUUAUGUUAAUGCAUUCAUACUAAACUGUUGAGAUUGGCAUGGUACAUUCUUUAUUGAAUCUGUUAUAAGAUUGAUGAUUGAGACAGUUGAGAUAUAUAUGCUAUAUACUAUUUUUCUGGGAAAGUAUACAGGUUUUCCAAAAAGGGGUUAUAAUUGUGGAUUUGUGAAAUGAUUUGGAAAAGCUUUAUUUUCGCCCACUCACGUUUUCUGUUUUUCGCCCCUCCAGGUUCUAGUUAAUAGUUGAGGCGUUGGUGGCCUACGAGACUGCUUCGGCGUUCUGACAGACUAAAUAAAUGUAGGAUUCACCCGAGGGUGUUGUAAAAUAGUUAUGUUCCUACUUGACUGCACCUAGAUGCUUAUGCUCUGUUUAUGUGUGUUUAGUACACUCUUAUGCACAUAGAAUGCUAGGUUGUAAAUAACUGCAAUUAGUGGUUUUCGUUAAUUCGUAUUUUAUUAUUAAAUCGUUUCCGCUUGCGUUAUGGUUACGUCACACUCACGUGACGGCCAGCACGUCCUAGUCUUCGGGUUAGGGUGUGUCAGUUUGGUAUCAGAGCAUAGGUUGCAGUCCUGUAUAACUAAUGAGUUCUUCUAUUGAUUUUUGGAUGUUUUCUGUCAGAAUUAUGCCGCCUCGUAGAGAUCCUCGCCGUGCUGCUGAGCCUAAUUUCCCCGAUAUAACUCAGUUAGGGGCAGCAAUGGCUCAAGCUUUUCAGGCUAAUAUCCGUCCUCCUCAGAGAACGCCCGUAGAGACGAUGUAUAAUCUGAAACUGGAAACCUUUGAGGGAAAUGAAGGUUAUGAAGGGGCAGAAAAGUGGUUGGAUCGAAUUGAGCAGACCUUUCAAGUGAUGCAAAGUCAGGGAAACCUGCCAGCUAAUAGAUGGGUGGAGACCACCACCUGGUUUUUGGGCCGUGAGCCAGCUGCGUGGUGGAUAAAUCAGUCGAGGCACAUGACUCCUGAAAGGGCAGCCGAAUGGGAGGUAUUUAAGGAAAAUUUUAUGAAGAGAUUUGUUCCUCCGGAAUAUAUAGAUCGCAAGAAACAGGAAUUCACCAGUCUGAAGCAGAGAAAUAUGUCUGCACAUGAGUACUACAGGAAGUUUACUGAUUUAUCCCGUUAUGAUUCUGAUUUAGCGGGUAAUCAAGCAGAAAUGCUUCGUCGUUUCAAGCUAGGAUCUAAGAAGAAGUACAGAACGUUUGCCAAUGCACUUCCCUGUGCCGAUUAUCAUGAGUAUUUUGAGAUUCUGGUCAGGAUGGAAGACUCUGAUAAUCUUCCGGACAGUGAGGAUGAAGAGGAUAAGGGUAAUGGUCAGAAGAAAAAUGAGAAAGGUAAAGGUGUUUCCAUUCCAGGACCUCGUCAGACGCAGAAUUUCAAGAAAAGUGGAAUGAGUUCGAGUUCUUCCAGUGGUGGAUUUAGUGCCACAGGUCCGAGGAGAGGAGGUGGUAGGUUUGGUAAUGGACCUAGAUUUUCUGGUCAGAGAGGCUUUGGUAAUACUGGUAGUUCGGGUCCUCCGUUAUGUCGCCGUUGUAAUUUCCGACAUCAUGGGGAAUGUAGGAGAAGCAGUGGUGCAUGCUUUACAUGUGGUCAGACAGGACAUAGAGCUAUGUAUUGUCCCCAGAAUCAGCAGAGGCCCCAGCAGCCUGUUAUGCCAACAUCAGCACCGACUCAACAGAACUUUAAUUCAGGCAGUUAUGGCCAGGGUGGUCGUGGUGGUGCUUAUCACUAUCAGGGUGAUGCUGCUCCUUAUGCUCCGGGACAGUAUCACUAUUCCCAGGAUCCUUAUUUUCAGAGUGGAUAUUCUCAGGAUCAGGGAGGUUAUACUUCAUAUCCGUCUAUGCCAGCUAGCGGAUCUCAGUGGUAUCAGGGGGGUCAGCCCCAACAGAGCGGAGUUGCUGCUAGUAGUACAGGGUCGUUUAGGCCGCCUGCCCAGGCAGGUCAAGGACGUACUCAUCAGGGACGAGGUAACCAGAGUGGCAGAGGUCGUGGAGGACGACAGCCAGCUCAGGGACGCGUUAACCACAUAUCGCUGCAAGAUGCUCAGAACCAUCCAGACUUGAUUAUGGGUACGUUGAAUGUUCUUGGUCAUUUUGCUAGAGUCUUGAUUGAUUGUGGUGCUACACACUCUGUGAUUUCUCAUACAUUUGCUCAAAUAACGCAACCUCAUCCUUCACCUCUAGGGUUUGAUUUAGAGUUUGCUAUGCCUAGAGGGGAUAAAUGUUAUGUUGAUAGUUUUUACUCUGGGUGUCCAGUGAUGGUAGAUAAUGUCAUUAUGCCUGCUAAUCUUAUCCCGUUAGACAUCGUGGAUUUUGAGGUGAUUUUAGGGGCGGAUUGGUUGCAUUAUAAUCGCGCCCAUAUAGAUUGUUACGGGAAAUCAGUUACUUUUCUUCGUCCUGGACUACCCGAGGUUACAUUUGUGGGUGAAAGAAGUGGGGUGAGGCAUGGUGUUAUUUCCGCCAUAAGGACAAAGAAAUUGUUAUCCAAGGGUUGUCAGGGAUACUUGGCACAUGUGGUUUUGAAUGAUGUUGAUUCCGGUAGUGUGGAGGAAGUCGGAGUAGUCAGACACUAUCCUGAUGUAUUUCCAGAUGAUUUACCUGGGUUGCCUCCAGAUAGAGAUGUGGAAUUUUCGAUUGAAUUGCUUCCAGGUACGAAUCCUAUCUCUUUGACUCCUUAUAGAAUGGCACCAGCGGAAUUAAGAGAGUUGAAAAUUCAAUUGCAAGAGUUAAUUGAUAAAGGUUUCAUUCAGCCUAGUUCUUCACCUUGGGGAGCUCCAGUGUUGUUUGUAAGAAAGAAAGAUGGAACUUUGAGAUUGUGCAUUGAUUACAGGCAAUUGAAUCGGGUGACGAUUAAAAACCGUUAUCCCUUGCCUCGUAUAGAUGAUUUGUUUGAUCAGCUCAAAGGUGCCUGUGUGUUUUCUAAGAUCGAUUUGAGGUCUGGGUAUUAUCAAUUAAAGAUUAAAGAUGAGGAUGUUCAUAAAACAGCUUUCAGGACUCGUUAUGGGCAUUAUGAGUUUUUUGGUGAUGCCAUUUGGAUUAACGAACGCUCCUGCAGCUUUCAUGAGAUUGAUGAAUGAAGUAUUCCAGGAAUAUCUUGACAAGUUUGUUAUUGUUUUUAUUGAUGACAUCCUGGUAUAUUCUAAGUCGAAAUCAGACCAUAUUCGACAUCUUAACUUGGUGUUAAGGAAAUUGAGGGAACACCGGUUAUAUGCCAAAUUUAGUAAAUGUCAAUUUUGGCUGGAUCAAGUGGCAUUUUUGGGACAUGUGGUAUCAGCUCAGGGAAUUCAAGUGGAUCCUCAAAAGAUAGCAGCAGUGGAAAAUUGGGAACAACCUCGAACGGUCACUGAGGUGCGGAGUUUCCUUGGUUUGGCAGGUUAUUAUAGACGGUUUGUUCAAGACUUUUCUAUGAUUGCCUUGCCAUUAACGAAGUUAACCAGGAAGGAUGUUAAGUUUGAGUGGGAUGAAAGUUGUGAGCAAAGUUUCCAGCAGUUGAAGUAUUGCCUUACUCAUGCACCUGUGUUAGUACUUCCUGAUGGUAAUGGUAACUUCGAGAUCUAUAGUGAUGCUUCUUUGAAUGGUUUGGGUUGUGUUUUGAUGCAGCAUAGUAGAGUGAUUGCCUAUGCUUCUAGGCAGUUGAAGACUCAUGAAAGAAACUAUCCGACUCACGAUCUUGAGUUGGCAGCUAUUGUGUUUGCUUUGAAGAUUUGGAGACACUAUCUCUAUGGCGAGAAAUGUAAGAUCUUUACCGAUCAUAAAAGCCUUCAGUACCUUUUCACUCAGCAUGAUCUUAAUCUUCGUCAGAGAAGAUGGUUGGAAUUGUUAAGUGAUUAUGAUUGCACGAUUGAGUACCAUCCGGGUCGUGCAAAUGUGGUAGCUGAUGCUCUGAGUAGAAAACCUCAAGGGCGACUUAAUGCUUUGUAUGCCAGUCGUGUUCCUCUUCUGGCAGAGUUGAGAUCUACUGGAGUAGAGUUAGAAUUGGAAGAGCAAAGUGAAGCUUUUCUUGCCAGUUUUCAAGUCAAGCCAGUUUUAAUUGAUCGGGUGCUUGCAGCUCAAUCGUGGGAUGAAGAAAUUCAAGAAUUGAUCAAGUUAAGAAAUGAAGGGAAGAAGAAAGAUCUCAAGAUCCGAGGAUCAGAUGGUAUGCUUAUGCAAGAGAACAGGAUGUAUGUGCCUAAUAAUGAGGAACUGAAGAAGGAAAUCUUGGAUGAAGCACAUUGUUCGGCUUAUGCUAUGCACCCAGGAGGAACUAAAAUGUAUCAUACCAUUCGACCAUUCUACUAUUGGCCGGGUAUGAAGAGGGAGAUUGCAGAGUAUGUGAGUAGGUGUAUUGUCUGCCAGCAGGUUAAGGCUGAAAGAAAGAAGCCGUUUGGGAGAUUGCAACCACUUCCCGUUCCCCAGUGGAAAUGGGAGAAUAUAACGAUGGAUUUUGUGUAUAAGCUGCCACGUACACAAAAUGGUUUUGAUGGCAUUUGGGUGGUUGUAGAUCGACUUACCAAAUCAGCACAUUUUAUUCCAGUAAGGGAGAAGUAUUCUUUAAAUAAGUUGGCUCAGUUAUUCAUAUCGAAGGUUGUAAAGUAUCAUGGUGUCCCAGUGAAUAUUAUUUCUGAUCGAGAUCCAAGAUUUACUUCUAAGUUUUGGAUAGCUUUUCAAGAAGCUUUGGGUACUAGAUUGCUUUACAGUACAGCUUAUCAUCCACAGACAGAUGGUCAGUCAGAGAGAACUAUUCAGACACUCGAGGAUAUGUUGAGAUCCUCUGUGAUGCAAUUUGGUGAUUCUUGGCAUGAUCGCUUGGAUUUGAUGGAGUUUGCCUACAAUAAUAGUUUUCAUUCGAGUAUUGGAAUGUCUCCAUUUGAAGCACUUUAUGGUAAAGCUUGCCGUACGCCAUUAUGUUGGUCAGAGGUUGGUGAAAGAAUACUUGAGGGCCCAGAGAUUGUGGAUGAGACUACUCAGAAUAUUCAGGUAAUUAAAUCUAACCUGAAAGUGGCCCAGGAUAGACAAAAGAGCCUAGCGGAUCGACAUACCACGGACAGAAUGUAUAAAGUGGGUGACUAUGUUUUCUGAAAUUAUCGCCUUGGAGAGGUGUGGUUCGCUUUGGAAAGAAAGGAAAGCUAAGUCCCAGGUACAUUGGACCUUAUGAGAUCACUGAGAGGAUUGGUGAAGUUGCUUACAGGUUGGAGCUACCUCCAGAGUUGUCUAAGGUACAUAAUGUGUUCCAUGUCUCGAUGCUUCGGCAUUAUGUGUCAGAUCCUUCACAUGUGAUUCCUCCUCAACCAUUGGAAAUUAAUCCGGAUUUGACGUACGAUGAGGAACCAGUGACUAUACUGGAUUGGAAAGAUAAGACCUUGAGGAAUAAGACCGUGAGCUUGGUGAAAGUAUUGUGGAGAAACCAUUCAGCUGAAGAAGCUACUUGGGAGACAGAAGAUCGGAUGAGAGAUAUGUAUCCGAGGUUAUUCUAUGACUUUUGAUGUUCUGGUUAGUGAUUGGAAUUUCGGGGACGAAAUUCUAUAAGGAGGGGAGAUUGUCACAGCCCGUCCCAGAAUUUCAAUUACCGAGGACGUGAAAUUACUAAAACGCCCUUAAACGGGAUUAAGGUGCGUAAAUUUGGUAUUUGUUUUACACUAAGAUCUUAAACUAGGGUUUAGAUUUACAUUUGUUUGGUCUAAUAAUUUUGUAUUGGACUUAGGUGGGAUCCCCACCUCCUGAAAUCCUUCCCCAAAACCCGUAGGUUGUCUCUCCCUCUUUCUUCCUCGUCUCUCCCUCAGUCUCUCUCACACUCCCUCAGAAACACUCUCUCUCUCUUACUCUCGAACUCUCUCAAGCUCUCGGACAAACACCAAGAACAAUCACAAUCCUACACCAACGUCCGAUCUAAGAUCACCACGACACUCCUUAGGACCUCACGAGCACGGGAAUACCAGUUUUAGGUAAGUUCUAUUUCGAGAACCCUAGUUUUAAAACACCCCGUGUAAUGGCACUGUUCACGAACUUAAUUUUGGUUGUGUUUUAGGUUAAACAAAGAUCACCACGAGUCUUAGGAAGUUCCAAGGAGGCUCGGAGUGCCUCGUUUGAUCAAAAUGGACGUCGGGAUCGUCGGGUUCGAGUUUGGCCGAAAUUGAAGAAUUUUGAAAGGUUUGAUCUUGUUGUUUUUAGGCCUUAAAACCCUUCCAACGUGAUAGUACAUGUUAAAUGCUUCAUUUUGGUAUAAAAUGCGAAGAAAUUGGUUGAAAAACGAAGGAGAAUAGUGGAUUUGAAAAUUUUCCAGAAACCGGCGAACAGUCGCCGGCGACCGGUGACUCGCCGGAGAAGACAGGGAAUCUUCCGUCAAGUUUGACGGAUAUUCCGACGCCGUUAGUUAACUUUAACGGAAACCGUUAGUUUUUAACGGAAUAUACUAGGAUUUGACGGAAUAUUCUCUAACGCCGUUCACUGUAGCCGUCAGUGUGCAUGUCACGUGGCCGCGCGUGGGCCGCGCGUAGGUCCGUGCCACGUCAGGCGCGUGGGGGCGCGUGAGGACUCCAAAAAUUAUUUUAAAAUUAUGGGGAUGAUCCUGAGGUUGUGUAGGUCACUGUGGUAUAUUCAUAUACCCAAUUUGAGCAUCGUAUGAAGAAUUAAUUACCUAGUUUGGUUUAGGUGCGUUAAUUGUGCGUUAAAUGAUUGUUUUAAGUUAUUUCACUUCUAGGUGGAACAUUUAACGAGGACGAGCACAUCCAGGGGCGUCAAGGGGGUUACGACCCGGCGACAUACCAGUGAGUGGGCAUUGCUUUCUAUAUAUAUACCUAUAUACUCGAUUUCCCCAGAAAUCAAAUUUAAAUGAAAAGUAUAUUGAAAUGAAAUGAAAUAUGAUGUGAUUGCCAUGCAUAGAAUAUUAUGGAUAUUAUGAACUGUCGUAUGAUGCAUAUAUGUAUGAUGGUGCUGUGGAAGCACAGGUAAGUAUUUAAUUAAUAUUAUGAUGAUGAUGAUGAUAUAUUGAGCUCAUAUCCUGCACCAUGGUUUAGUGCUUAUAGUAUUCACCGCAUCGCACGCUCGCCUUGGAUCCAAGUAGAUGCUGGUCGUACAGUCCACGCGGAGUGGGUACGACGGGCCAGUCGUAGAGUGUUAGUGAGAUUAUGACUGGUGGGUGACCUUAGGUUAUUGUAUACAGAUGAUUGAUGAGAGAAGCACUAGAGCGAAUAUUACCAUGAGUCGUUCAAACUACAUUAGGUGGUUCCGACUUAUGUGCAGAAGGCCGGACAGGUCACGCGGAGUGACUCCGGCAGAGAGUGAGAUUGAUAGAUGUUGAGCUCUAGGUUCAAUCGUUCAGGGCUAUUAGAGGGCCUCCGAUUGAUUUCUAUCUUUUACCUGAUUAUAUUAU
rnacentral:lncRNA from 1 species